AGCAGAAAUCUGGCCAAAAGUCAGUGCACAAAAACGCAUGGGCUUCUUUGUUACUUGUUGACAUCGAAGACAGAAAGGCAGUUGUGCGAGCCAUCGGGGUGUAAGAAAUCCCCGGGGGUCUCGGCAGCUGGUACAGCGGUCAAAUUCCAUGACGACGGAGCAUAGAUAGCUAACCCCUUACGUCGCGUCGAAAAACAAAACAUCUCACGGCUUCGGCCUGGGAGUCCUCGACCUUACGGAGGGACGCUUUGCUCUCGAGAGGUCAGCUGCGUACCUGGCGUUGCGGCCAAGCCUACAAAGACCCGUAGCGGGGUCUUAUGCCUGCGCACACGAGGUUAAGGGGGGUCAGAACCCCCUCGUUUCUUACGCCCCUUUGGGGCGUGAAGAUUGACCAGGCGAUGGGAAAGUAGCACCGAGAACGUGGAUCAUCAAGGCGACCGUGGCUCUGCGGCGCCUUCCACGGGGCUCCUCGCGACUAAACACUCACCUUCCACAUAAUAGGCGUAAUUGCCGGCGGAGUUGGUUUGGAUCUUCGGAUCAGGUGAACGCGAGUUGAUACAGGCCCACUCGACACUUUGUACUGCCUAGUCCUUCACGCUCGAGUGGGACACCUCGAACCCGAGCAAAUAGAAGCCGGCCUUUCCCUCAGUGCUUCACGGCCUAGGGUUAGAUACCGGACCAGUCUGUAGGUAGGCGCCUUGCUUGAAAAAGUCCCAAGGUGUCCUCAUCCCCCUAGGGGGAGCCUAAGGGAGUCGCUCUCCCGCUGGUUGCCCGGAUCGUUUGCUCGUGGAGACGCGGCCCCUAGCCGACAUACUAGGAGCCCGUCAGAUUGAUUGCCGUGCGCGGGCGAUCACGUUCGUCAGAACGUUUUACCCAUUGCAGUGCCAGCGUGGACGCGCAAGUGCGUCCCCAGGCUUUUGGUCGGAACUGUUGUCAAAAUUUCGCGCCGCGCGAGUAGGGGCCUUCGGGCACCCGCUUGUGGCAGGCAAGAGAUCCUAGAAAUCAACUCCCGGACCCUAUGACUACUAGUACUCACGUUUCCUCGGCAGGUCCGCCUGCCAACGGGGACCCUACAAAUUCUUUUUUGCAGUGGUAGUGUUUGUCUGAAAAUAAACAAAUCUUAUUAAAACUUUCAACAACGGAUCUCUUGGUUCUGGCAUCGAUGAAGAACGCAGCGAAAUGCGAUAAGUAGUGUGAAUUGCAGAAUUCAGUGAAUCAUCGAAUCUUUGAACGCACAUUGCGCCCUUUGGUAUUCCAUAGGGCAUGCCUGUUCGAGCGUCGUUUCAAACCUUCAAGCCUAGCUUGGUGUUGGGUGACUGUCCCGCGUGCCCGCGUGGACUCGCCUUAAAAUCAUUGGCAGCGAACAUCGUAGCUAAUUGCGCAGCACAACGCGCCUGAAGCUCUCUGUUUGGCUAUCCACGAGCAAAGUCUCACCAGUUUUGACCUCGGAUCAGGUAGGGAUACCCGCUGAACUUAAGCAUAUCAAUAA
rnacentral:misc_RNA from 1 species